AAAUUUUAAGGAGAAGACACGUAUUAGACUCGACAGAGUCAUCUUCCCCCUUCAUCUUCAUCCGACCUAACCAUUCUUUAAAAACCCCCUUCUGCCUAAUUUUAUACAUCAUCUCCCAUCAAGUUCCUACCGAUAAAUCACAAACAAAAUAUCACCUACCAAAUCGAGAAAGAAAUCAAGAAGUAAGAAGAAACUCAUAUUCAAUCAUCGAAGAAAAGAUGGUGACUUGACGACCUUCCCGGUGAAGUUUCAUCGAGCGGGGUUUUACAGGCUUUAGUUCGGUGGAGAUUCCGACCCCUUUGAUUUGAUUUGAUGACGAUUGCCUACUGUUAAUUUCAUAAUCCGAUUUGAGGUUUUGAGAUCGAGGAACCGUGAUCGACGAGUACUCUUGAUUGGACCGAGACACAGGUGCAGCUUGAACGAAUAAGAGGAUUUCCCGUCCGAGUAGUUACCUUGUUUAUAUUUGUAAAAUAGUGGUUCGAUUAAGUUAAGAAUAAUCGCUGUCUUGUAUUAUAAAUAUCAGCGUUUUAACUUAUUUAUGUUAUAGUAUUGUAAUCUCAUAAGCUAGGAGCUGUUGUUAUAAAUGUUCGGAACCUUUGUACUUUACCUUGCUAGAAGUGAGGUUGUUAAUAAAUAAAUCGUACGUAUUUUUGUGAA